GAUGAACGCUGGCGGCGUGCUUAACACAUGCAAGUCGAACGGUGAAGGAGAGCUUGCUCUCCGGAUCAGUGGCGAACGGGUGAGUAACACGUGAGCAAUCUGCCCCUGACUCUGGGAUAAGCGUUGGAAACGACGUCUAAUACCGGAUACGAGCUGCGAAGGCAUCUUCAGCAGCUGGAAAGAACUUCGGUCAGGGAUGAGCUCGCGGCCUAUCAGCUAGUUGGUGAGGUAAUGGCUCACCAAGGCGUCGACGGGUAGCCGGCCUGAGAGGGUGACCGGCCACACUGGGACUGAGACACGGCCCAGACUCUACGGGAGGCAGCAGUGGGGAAUAUUGCACAAUGGGCGCAAGCCUGAUGCAGCAACGCCGCGUGAGGGACGACGGCCUUCGGGUUGUAAACCUCUUUUAGCAGGGAAGAAGCGAAAGUGACGGUACCUGCAGAAAAAGCACCGGCUAACUACGUGC
rnacentral:rRNA from 1 species